GAAUUCGAUUAGAGUUUGAUCCUGGCUCAGGAUAAACGCUGGCGGCGUGCCUUAUGCAUGCAAGUCGAACGGUCCUUUGUUUUUCGGAAUAAAGGAUAGUGGCAAACGGGUGAGUAAUACGUAAGUGACCUGUCCAUAAGUGGGGAAUAAUUCGCCGAAAGGCGGACUAAUACCGCAUGUUGUGAUGAUGUUAGUGCUUCAUCAAGAAAGCCGUAAGGCGCUUUAGGAGGGGCUUGCGUCCGAUUAGCUAGUUGGUAGGGUAAUGGCUUACCAAGGCGAGGAUCGGUAGCUGGUCUGAGAGGAUGAUCAGCCACAUUGGGACUGAGACACGGCCCAGACUCCUACGGGAGGCAGCAGCAAGGAAUAGUAGGCAAUGGGCGAAAGCCUGACCUCGCGACGCCGCGUGAAGGAUGAAGGCCUUCGGGUUGUAAACUUCUUUUCUCAGGGAAGAAUGAUGACGGUACCUGAGGAAUAAGUCACGGCUAACUACGUGCCAGCAGCCGCGGUAAGACGUAGGUGGCGAGCGUUAUCCGGAUUUACUGGGCGUAAAGCGUGCGCAGGCGGCUUUUCAAGUCAGGUGUAAAAUCUCCCGGCUCAACUGGGAGGG
rnacentral:rRNA from 1 species